UGUUGCCGCCUUAGCAUUGAAUGCUAGGGAAGCAAGCGAGCAUUUGGCCUCCCCUGAUAAAAAAAAGCAUAAAUAAAUAGCAAUCAGCGUUGAGCUAAACUGAGUGAGCUCAACUGGGAAUGGUCCUGGCGCACCAAAAACAAGUGACAAGGGAAGCGAGUUUGGAUUUGGCUUCACUCCUAUCACAGAGAAACACGUUGUCGAUAGAAACAACUUGAAUUGUUGAAUCUCGUUGUGUUGUUGUCCUCUGGUGACUAGCUAGCUAGCUCAAAUUAUGCCUUUACUAAAUUAGCCAUGGAUGGAGAUAGAGAUUUGGACUUGUGGUUUUAAUUAAUUAUCUGUACUGGCCAAUGAUUAUAACGGCGAUUCGGAUCCAACCAUAAAAUACAUUGUGCCCCUGGACUGAGAGGAUGGAAGUUCAAUAUAUAGUUAGAUGUAGAAGGCUAAUGUUAACUAGCUAACGUUGCCCAUGAAAGGAAGUUAGGCUAGCGAGCAAGCAUUUUAGCCAGGUAGCCUAGGACAACAAAAAAUAAAAGCAUGUACUAUAUGACAGUCAUAAAGAUGGCAUUGGCGUUUCUCUACAAGUAGGGGAUCCUCUGAACACAUCAACAUCUGCCUCCCAUGAAGCAUCGUUACCUAUCGCUCCACAAAAGCCACAGCCCUACUACUUCAAGGUCUCAGAGUGACUGCGGGUCCGGGUGUCUGAACCGGAGCAACCUGGCAGGUUCCCCUGCCUCAGCUGGCUCGACGUGUUUCCAUACCUCAGCGGGAAUGAUAGGCUCCCAUGUCUCAACUGGGUGAACAGGUUCUCGUGCCUCGACCGAGGCAACCGGGAGGCCUCAGCCGGUUCAUCAGGUUUCUGCGCCUCAGCGGAGGCAACCGGUCUGCUCCUGAUCCCCGGGAUCGUCCCUGUGGUUGGCGUCCUGCAGGCUGGAGCCGCGCGCCGGGAAGGGGG
rnacentral:lncRNA from 1 species